CAAUUUGUAAUUAAAGGGAAGAUGAUUAGUUAGGAAGUGCGUUUUGUGUUUUUGGCUGUUGAAGAUUGCUGUUUAUGAUGGUUUGAUAAUAUUUAUUGCCACUUUGUUGAAAAUGCAGGUAGAAGAAAAUUAUGAAGAAAAAGUCUGUAGUUCGGAAUUUAAGUUGGCAAAAGGGGGUAAGUUUUGUGUAAGGAUUUUUUUUGUGUUAUUUUUACCCUGGAAAUGGUUGAUAUUGAUAUGAAAUUUUUGGUUUGGGUAUUAGGUCACUAUGAAGUUUGUAAAGGGGCAAGGGACUUCUAAAGGACUUGUAAAGGGGCAAGGGUCUUCUAAAGUAGCUAUCCCUAACAGCAAAUCAAAUGGUAAGAACAUAAAUUCCAAGGAAUAUAAGGAAUCUGAGGAUUACAACGAGGAGGAAGAUGACAAUGGUUGGAGUAAUUCCCAAUCUGAGGAUUUUGUCGAUGAGGAGGAAGAUGAACAAUCAAGCUCUGAAGUAUUUAAGGGACUGUAGAUGCAUUUCUUACAUAGAGACAGUAAGAAGAGAAAGUCAAAACAUAAUGAUAAAGGUUCAUUGAAAAUGGCUAAGGUGGAAAAAAGCGAAGGACAUAGAGUGUGUUCUAGGGGUGAGGUGAUAAAGACACGCUUUGAGAAUAUUAGGAAGAUUUUCUACCUGGAUCAUCUAGAACGCGUCUCUGUGCAGUGGGGUGUGUAUCCUAGGAUCAAGGUCUGGACAACGGAAGAAGUUCAGGCCGUCGUUGCUGAGGAUUGAGUGUCAAGGGAGAAUUAUGGGAAGUUAUUGCCCAUAAAUAUUGCUUAUGGUGAGCCGCAUCCCAUGAUUCCAAGGAAAGGCAAAGGCCUUAAAGGAAGGGUUGAGGAAAAUGACGUAAUUUCUAAUGUUGUGGAGAAGGUUCUGACACGGCUCGCUCCUAGACUGGUUACUCUUGUUGAGGGUAUUGUUUAAAAAAUCCAUGGGAAGUGGUGUUGUUGGUGGUGGUGGUGGUGGGUCAUAUGUGACUGAUGAUGUUGUUGAUGGUAAUCGAAUCUAAGAGACUAACACCGCAAGCAAUGGCAAAGGUAGCCUUUAUACCUCGGGCUCAGGACCGAAGGAGGUUCUUAUUUCUUAACUAUUUAUUGGUGAUUUUGUGUGGCAAACAAUGUUAAUGCUCAAGAAAAACGAGUAUGAGAACUUGGCUAGGAAGCAUGGGAAGUUUUUCCUUUCAUACUCGCUGGACCAGAUACGUGUUGUGAGGAUAUCUAAACCCAAGUAGUUUGUUUUAAUUUACUGGUUUAUAGUCAACUGUAUAAGUCUUAAGCGAAAAUGUGAUUUGUAGGUAUUCAUGCCGAUCCUCGAAGUUUCUAAGAAGAAAGGGGAACAUUGGUGGUGUUUAGCAGUAGAUUUCAAGGAAAAGCAGAUAUGGAUGCUUGACUCUUUUGUUAAAGAUCCCUUUGCAGCUCACGCAGACAUAAAAACUGAGUCGGUUCAGGGGCUGGAUGUGCUUGCUGGUGCACAUCCAAAAUGGGUACUUGAUCAGAUAUGCAAUUGACCUAGAAGAAUAAUGGAAAUGGCAAAACAAUAGACACUUAUUCCUGCGGUGUACUAAUGCUUGCAUGCAUCAAACAUUGCGCCAAUAGUUUUGACACUUUAUUUUCACUGGAGAAGUUUGUCAACCUCAAGAACAAGGUGUUCUUGGAAGAUGCAUACAACAAGUUCAAUGUUGUCAAAGACAAACUGGAGGGGAUUAUUCCUAAAGAACGCAGAGCAUCAAAGAGGAACGGGUAUGUAACAACUCAGUAGUCCUGAUGCUGCAUAAAAUUUUCAUUUCUGUAAUUUGACUAUUAUCUUAGAUGUCUGUACUAAAAUGUUUAAGGAUUUGCUUAAGACAUUGUGUAUUUGAUGUAGGGGACCCAGUGUAGAAUUUGGGCCAGUGUGUUUGAAAUUAGGGCCAGGUUUUUUGUGAAUUAGAGUAACUAUUUAACUUGGGCCACUUUUAAUUAUUAGGCAACCAUUCAAUA